GGGCCUAUAGCUCAGCUGGUUAGAGCAACCGGCUCAUAACCGGUAGGUCCCUGGUUCAAACCCAGGUGGGCCCA
rnacentral:tRNA from 1 species